rnacentral:rRNA from 1 species
GAUGAACGCUGGCGGCGGGCCUAAUACAUGCAAGUCGAGCGAACGGAGGAGAAUCUUUCUUCGCUUAUGUGACCGGCGGACGGGUGAGGAAUAGGAAGAUAACCGAUCGAGAGGACUGGGAUAAGGUCGGGGAACCUGAUAUAGUACCGGUUAUGAUUUAGAACGUGAGGGUUCAAAGGGCAAAAAGGUUUUGGCUGUGCCUAAGUAGGGUAUCCUCGUUGCAUUAGUUAGUUGGUACGGUAACGGCCUACCAAGGCAACGAUGCAUAGCCGAUCUGAGAGGGUGAUCGGUCACACUGGAACUGAGACCCGGUCCAGACUCCUACGGGAGGCAGCAGUAGGGAAUCUUCCGCAAUGGGCGAAAGCCUGACGCAGCAACGCCGCGUGGGUGAUGAAGGUCUUCGGAUCGUAAAACUCUGUUAUUAGGGAAGAACAUAUGUGUAAGUAACUGUUCACAUCUUGACGGUACCUAAUCAGAAAGCCCCGGCUAACUACGUG